rnacentral:rRNA from 1 species
UGUGAGGUUAAGCGACUAAGCGUACACGGUGGAUGCCCUGGCAGUCAGAGGCGAUGAAGGACGUGCUAAUCUGCGAUAAGCGUCGGUAAGGUGAUAUGAACCGUUAUAACCGGCGAUUUCCGAAUGGGGAAACCCAGUGUGAUUCGUCACACUAUCAUUAACUGAAUCCAUAGGUUAAUGAGGCGAACCGGGGGAACUGAAACAUCUAAGUACCCCGAGGAAAAGAAAUCAACCGAGAUUCCCCCAGUAGCGGCGAGCGAACGGGGAGCAGCCCAGAGCCUGAAUCAGUGUGUGUGUUAGUGGAAGCGUCUGGAAAGGCGCGCGAUACAGGGUGACAGC